UACGCCCGAUCUCGUCCGAUCUCGGAAGCUAAGCAGGGUCGGGCCUGGUUAGUACUUGGAUGCGAGAUCGCCUGGGAAUACCAGGUGCUGUAAGUUU
rnacentral:rRNA from 1 species